AGUGAACGCUGGCGGUAGGCCUAACACAUGCAAGUCGAACGGCAGCACAGUAAGAGCUUGCUCUUACGGGUGGCGAGUGGCGGACGGGUGAGGAAUACAUCGGAAUCUACUUUUUCGUGGGGGAUAACGUAGGGAAACUUACGCUAAUACCGCAUACGACCUACGGGUGAAAGCAGGGGAUCUUCGGACCUUGCGCGAUUGAAUGAGCCGAUGUCGGAUUAGCUAGUUGGCGGGGUAAAGGCCCACCAAGGCGACGAUCCGUAGCUGGUCUGAGAGGAUGAUCAGCCACACUGGAACUGAGACACGGUCCAGACUCCUACGGGAGGCAGCAGUGGGGAAUAUUGGACAAUGGGCGCAAGCCUGAUCCAGCCAUACCGCGUGGGUGAAGAAGGCCUUCGGGUUGUAAAGCCCUUUUGUUGGGAAAGAGAAGCAGCAGGUUAAUACCCCGCCGUUCUGACGGUACCCAAAGAAUAAGCACCGGCUAACUUCGUG
rnacentral:rRNA from 1 species